AAAGUACACCAAUUCUUUUAGAUCACUAAUAAAGUAACCAAGCUGUGCUGAUGAGCCUUGAAUAGGCGAAACUGCAGUCUACGGCACAGGAUACGGCCAAUCAAGGAAAGCAUUAGGGCUCUGUGUCAAUUUAACCUUUGGUUCGUAUAUCGAAGACAAAUUUUGAAAAGGUGUUACAGCUGGAAACGUUAGACCAAGGAAACACAACAAAAGCUUUAUUUUGGUGUAUACUCGUUUUAAAUAUCCUACCAUUGUUCUUUACAUAUUUCUAGAAUAACUUCAAGUAACAAGAAUGUCAUUUGUUUCUUCCAGAAAAGGUAAAAAGAGUUUAGUCUUAGUUUUCAUAUAAUUUAAUUUAUAUGAUGUUUUUAUAAUGAUUUUAAAAGCUUUGCAAUUCAUCAGAUUUCUGUUGAAAAAUUGGGCUUGGAAAGCAAGGAAAAAUGAUAUCGUCAUUUUGUCAAGUUAUAUAUCAUGCAUACCUGUAACCUUAUAUCCUUCUGUGAUUUAUUAAUUUCAAAGCUGAAGAAGAUUUUCCAACGUAAUUGUAUCGUAUUUUGCGUUCUGUAAUAAGAUGAAUG